UACAGAGGGUGCAAGCGUUGUUCGGAAUUAUUGGGCGUAAAGGGCGCGUAGGCGGUGCCACAAGUCACCUGUGAAAUCUCCGGGCUUAACUCGGAGCCUGCAGGCGAAACUGUGGUGCUGGAGUGUGGGAGAGGUGCGUGGAAUUCCCGGUGUAGCGGUGAAAUGCGUAGAUAUCAGGAGGAACACCGGUGGUGUAAACGGCUUUCUGGACCAUUUCUGACGCUGAGGCACGAAAGCGUGGGGAGCGAACGGG
rnacentral:rRNA from 1 species